UCCAAAAUGGAGAAUUCCUACCAAAAUCUCAAGUAUAGUGGUUUGCAUUCAAAAUGCAACAUGCCUACAUUUGACAAAAGCUCUGCUUAUUGUACUGAGGUAUAGAAUGUGCACGCGCAAGCGACUUAACCGGUCACCCUUUUUGAGAUUUUGUGUACAGCACCUCCACACAUUGGACUUGGGUAAAGAGGACACCCACCAGAUACACCACUGUGUGAGGACCAACUGGUAACGUAUUAUGGCUCACUGCAAAAGG